AUGCAAAGCGAGCGGUGCGGAGGGCUGCCGCUGGCCGGCCCGGCUGCCUCGCUCGCCUCGGCGCCUCUUGGCAGGGCGGCGAGUCUGAUGCAAUCGGCUGCGCUGACGGAGGCCGCGCCGGCGGUUCCCCACCUGUAUUUGCCAUUGUGUGCCCGGAGCUGUUUGCAGGUGUUUGCUGGCGCCGCGCUGUCUGAGCCGCACUUCCCUCCUCCUCCUCCCGCUGCCUUCCCCGGCCAAGGCCUGCCUCCCCCCGCCGCCAGCCGGCCCGGCCCGCCGCCAGCCGGCCUGCGCCGGGGCGGCCGCGCUCGCGCACGCGGGCGCUCGUGCACGGGGACACGGGUGGGCACGCGUGUGCACGCAGAUGUGCGCGUGGAGCCGCGCGUGCACUUGCGCGUGAGCGCACACGCGCUUAUACACGUGCACACACACGCAUGCCUUUACGCGCACGCACGGCUUGCAUGCACAUGCCUGGACUUGCGCACACACAGGGGCACGCACGUGCACGCGCUUGCACAAACGCCUGGGUGGACACACAUGCACACGCACGCGCAUGCGGAUUUGCUCAUGCAUCCCACCAGGGACGCGCACACGCACGCACGCACGCUGCCCCUAACAGAGCCACGUGUGCACACACGUGCGUGCACCAACGCGCACCCGCUGCAGCCGGGCUGCAACGCGUGCACCCCCCCCCCCGGCAGCGCCACACAUGCACACUCACACGGAUGCACACGUGCGUCUGCCAGCGGCGUGCACACGUGUGCGCGCUCACAGGCGUGCAAGGACGCAGGCGCACGCAAACCCCUUCCCCGCCAACAGCGACGCACACACAUGCACACGCAAUCCCCCCCCCGCAAGUAUCACCCCCCCCUUCCCCAGCCCUGCGAAUGUCCUGGGCUGUCCCCCACCCCGGGCAUCCCCGCGCCCUUGGCUUCCUCCCAGCUUGGCGAAAUAUCCGUCCCCCGGGGCCCUGCGGCAUUUUCGGCUCAAGCGACGGCUCUUCCUGUCCUAACUCACGGCGUGGAGCGGCCGGAGUGA
rnacentral:lncRNA from 1 species